GUGCUCACUUCAGCAGCAUAUAUAUUAAAAUUGCAAUGAUACAGAGAAGAUUAGCAUGACCCCUGAGCAAACAUGACACACAAAUUCGUGAAGUGUUGCAUAUUUUU